GACGAAGGGGGUGAGCGUUAUCCGGAAUGACUGGGCGUAAAGGGUUCGUAGGUGGUCUUUUUUGUGAAAGGUAAAAUGUGGGAGCUUAACUCCCUUAUGCUUUUUAAACGUUAAGACUUUGAGUUGGAGAGGGGAUAGCAGAAUUUCACAUGGAGGGGUGAUAUCCGGAGAAAUGUGAAGGAAUCCCAGAGGCGAAGGCGGCUAUCUAGAUCCAACGGACAUUGAGGAACGAAAGCAUGGGGAUCAAACAGG
rnacentral:rRNA from 1 species